rnacentral:rRNA from 1 species
UAAGUUAUUAAGGGCGCACGGUGGAUGCCUUGGCACUAGAAGCCGAUGAAGGACGUUACUAACGACGAUAUGCUUUGGGGAGCUGUAAGUAAGCUUUGAUCCAGAGAUUUCCGAAUGGGGAAACCCAGCAUGAGUUAUGUCAUGUUAUCGAUAUGUGAAUACAUAGCAUAUCAGAAGGCACACCCGGAGAACUGAAACAUCUUAGUACCCGGAGGAAGAGAAAGAAAAUUCGAUUCCCUUAGUAGCGGCGAGCGAAACGGGAAGAGCCCAAACCAACAAGCUUGCUUGUUGGGGUUGUAGGACACUCUAUACGGAGUUACAAAGGACGACAUUAGACGAAUCAUCUGGAAAGAUGAAUCAAAGAAGGUAAUAAUCCUGUAGUCGAAAAUGUUGUCUCUCUUGAGUGGAUCCUGAGUACGACGGAGCACGUGAAAUUCCGUCGGAAUCUGGGAGGACCAUCUCCUAAGGCUAAAUACUCUCUAGUGACCGAUAGUGAACCAGUACCGUGAGGGAAAGGUGAAAAGCACCCCGGAAGGGGAGUGAAAUAGAACCUGAAACCGUGUGCUUACAAGUAGUCAGAGCCCGUUAAUGGGUGAUGGCGUGCCUUUUGUAGAAUGAACCGGCGAGUUACGAUUUGAUGCAAGGUUAAGCAGUAAAUGUGGAGCCGUAGCGAAAGCGAGUCUGAAUAGGGCGUUUAGUAUUUGGUCGUAGACCCGAAACCAGGUGAUCUACCCUUGGUCAGGUUGAAGUUCAGGUAACACUGAAUGGAGGACCGAACCGACUUACGUUGAAAAGUGAGCGGAUGAACUGAGGGUAGCGGAGAAAUUCCAAUCGAACCUGGAGAUAGCUGGUUCUCUCCGAAAUAGCUUUAGGGCUAGCCUCAAGUGAUGAUUAUUGGAGGUAGAGCACUGUUUGGACGAGGGGCCCCUCUCGGGUUACCGAAUUCAGACAAACUCCGAAUGCCAAUUAAUUUAACUUGGGAGUCAGAACAUGGGUGAUAAGGUCCGUGUUCGAAAGGGAAACAGCCCAGACCACCAGCUAAGGUCCCAAAAUAUAUGUUAAGUGGAAAAGGAUGUGGCGUUGCCCAGACAACUAGGAUGUUGGCUUAGAAGCAGCCAUCAUUUAAAGAGUGCGUAAUAGCUCACUAGUCGAGUGACACUGCGCCGAAAAUGUACCGGGGCUAAACAUAUUACCGAAGCUGUGGAUUGUCCUUUGGACAAUGGUAGGAGAGCGUUCUAAGGGCGUUGAAGCAUGAUCGUAAGGACAUGUGGAGCGCUUAGAAGUGAGAAUGCCGGUGUGAGUAGCGAAAGACGGGUGAGAAUCCCGUCCACCGAUUGACUAAGGUUUCCAGAGGAAGGCUCGUCCGCUCUGGGUUAGUCGGGUCCUAAGCUGAGGCCGACAGGCGUAGGCGAUGGAUAACAGGUUGAUAUUCCUGUACCACCUAUAAUCGUUUUAAUCGAUGGGGGGACGCAGUAGGAUAGGCGAAGCGUGCGAUUGGAUUGCACGUCUAAGCAGUAAGGCUGAGUAUUAGGCAAAUCCGGUACUCGUUAAGGCUGAGCUGUGAUGGGGAGAAGACAUUGUGUCUUCGAGUCGUUGAUUUCACACUGCCGAGAAAAGCCUCUAGAUAGAAAAUAGGUGCCCGUACCGCAAACCGACACAGGUAGUCAAGAUGAGAAUUCUAAGGUGAGCGAGCGAACUCUCGUUAAGGAACUCGGCAAAAUGACCCCGUAACUUCGGGAGAAGGGUGCUCUUUAGGGUUAACGCCCAGAAGAGCCGCAGUGAAUAGGCCCAAGCGACUGUUUAUCAAAAACACAGGUCUCUGCUAAACCGUAAGGUGAUGUAUAGGGGCUGACGCCUGCCCGGUGCUGGAAGGUUAAGAGGAGUGGUUAGCUUCUGCGAAGCUACGAAUCGAAGCCCCAGUAAACGGCGGCCGUAACUAUAACGGUCCUAAGGUAGCGAAAUUCCUUGUCGGGUAAGUUCCGACCCGCACGAAAGGCGUAACGAUUUGGGCACUGUCUCAACGAGAGACUCGGUGAAAUCAUAGUACCUGUGAAGAUGCAGGUUACCCGCGACAGGACGGAAAGACCCCGUGGAGCUUUACUGUAGCCUGAUAUUGAAAUUCGGCACAGCUUGUACAGGAUAGGUAGGAGCCUUUGAAACGUGAGCGCUAGCUUACGUGGAGGCGCUGGUGGGAUACUACCCUAGCUGUGUUGGCUUUCUAACCCGCACCACUUAUCGUGGUGGGAGACAGUGUCAGGCGGGCAGUUUGACUGGGGCGGUCGCCUCCUAAAAGGUAACGGAGGCGCUCAAAGGUUCCCUCAGAAUGGUUGGAAAUCAUUCAUAGAGUGUAAAGGCAUAAGGGAGCUUGACUGCGAGACCUACAAGUCGAGCAGGGUCGAAAGACGGACUUAGUGAUCCGGUGGUUCCGCAUGGAAGGGCCAUCGCUCAACGGAUAAAAGCUACCCCGGGGAUAACAGGCUUAUCUCCCCCAAGAGUUCACAUCGACGGGGAGGUUUGGCACCUCGAUGUCGGCUCAUCGCAUCCUGGGCUGUAGUCGGUCCCAAGGGUUGGGCUGUUCGCCCAUUAAAGCGGUACGCGAGCUGGGUUCAGAACGUCGUGAGACAGUUCGGUCCCUAUCCGUCGUGGGCGUAGGAAAUUUGAGAGGAGCUGUCCUUAGUACGAGAGGACCGGGAUGGACAUACCUCUGGUGUACCAGUUGUCGUGCCAACGGCAUAGCUGGGUAGCUAUGUGUGGACGGGAUAAGUGCUGAAAGCAUCUAAGCAUGAAGCCCCCUCAAGAUGAGAUUUCCCAACUUCGGUUAUAAGAUCCCUCAAAGAUGAUGAGGUUAAUAGGUUCGAGGUGGAAGCAUGGUGACAUGUGGAGCUGACGAAUACUAAUCGAUCGAAGACUUAAUCA